CUUAAAGGAAUCGACGGGGCCGCACAAGCGGUGGAGUAUGUGGUUUAAUUCGAUGCAACGCGAAGAACCUUACCUGGUCUUGACAUCCCGGAGACCCUUAGGAAACUAGGGGUGCUUCCAUCUGGAAGAAUCUGGAGACAGGUGCUGCAUGGCUGUCGUCAGCUCGUGUCGUGAGAUGUUGGGUUAAGUCCCGCAACGAGCGCAACCCUUGCCUUUAGUUGCCAGCAGUUCGGCUGGGCACUCUAAAGGGACUGCCGGUGUUAAACCGGAGGAAGGUGGGGAUGACGUCAAGUCCUCAUGGCCUUUAUGACCAGGGCUACACACGUACUACAAUGGCCGAUACAAAGGGCAGCGACACUGCGAGGUGAAGCCAAUCCCGUAAAAUCGGUCUCAGUCCGGAUUGGAGUCUGCAACUCGACUCCAUGAAGUUGGAAUCGCUAGUAAUCGUGGAUCAGCAUGCCACGGUGAAUACGUUCCCGGGCCUU
rnacentral:rRNA from 1 species